CCCGCUGAACUUAAGCAUAUCAGUAGGCGGUGGAAAAGAAACUAACGAGGAUUCCCCUAGUAACUGCGAGUGAACAGGGAACAGCCCGACGCUGAAGCCUCGACCGUUCAAGGCGGGGCAAUGUGGCGUUAGAUCAGUGCGUUUUCGUCGGUCCACACAAGUGCGACCGUUCCCCGGCUUGCAGAAGUCUGCGUGACCGUGGCUCUAUUUACCCCGAGAGGGUGAAAGGCCCGUUCUGAUAUACCUUGAAAGGUUAUCGAGCCGAUAACAGGGAACGGCGUACGGGCCGAUAACUAGCGUACGAACAGAGUCGGAUUGCUUGAGAGUGCAAUCUUAAGACGGGUGGUAAACUCCAUCCAAGGCUAAAUACGAUUCCACCAGACCGAUAGCGAACAAGUACCGUGAGGGAAAGUUGCAAAGAACUCUGAAGAGAGGGUUCAAGAGAACGUGAAACCGAUCGGCAGUAACCGGGAGGCACGCCUCGAAACAGAGCUGGGUUUCGAGCAGAGCUUGUCGUGAGAGAUUCAGCCCGCUGUGCUCGGUCGGUCGGACGGGGUUGCCCUCGAGGUAAAGCGAACAAACGUUUUUAACGUGGCACGAUGGGCGGCGGUUUUAUACCGUCGUUCUGUCGGCGUCGCAAGAGCGUUGUCGUUCUCGUUCUCAGCCGUACCGUAGCGCGGGUGCAUUUUCUUGCUUCGGCUCUACCUCUCGGGAGAAAUAUUUUUCUCUCGGGAUUUUACCCACGCCGUCGCCGGGUUGUUUUUAAAAGCGUGUGGCCGGGGAAACGACGGGAGGUUGGUUAGAGUUCGUUGUCUCUCGCAGACAACGUUCCUUCGUUUCUAGCCUUUCCCGUUAUUCUCCUAGACCUCGUUGUCGGCUUGCGCUAGCAUUUGACGGCCCGGUGAUCGAUGUGCGCUUCUCGUGCGUGCGUAGGGGUUUGAAUUUGAUCGGACGUCGUCGCUGGUCUCGACUCGCUAGAGGCACCGUCUCCGUUCAUCGGAGGACGCGUUUCUCGAUUCGUUCCAGUGCGGCGUAUUCUACCCGUGAUAUUCCUCCUCUGCGCCACACGCCGAGUUUUUGUCGUACUCGAAUGACGGCCGAGUAGAAAGGCUCGCCUCCCGACCCGUCUUGAAACACGG
rnacentral:rRNA from 1 species